GGCUGGGUAGCUCAGUUGGUAGAGCAAGGGACUGAAAAUCCCUGUGUCGGCGGUUCGAUUCCGUCUCCAGCCA
rnacentral:tRNA from 1 species